rnacentral:rRNA from 1 species
GGUUAAGCGACUAAGCGUACACGGUGGAUGCCCUGGCAGUCAGAGGCGAUGAAGGACGUGCUAAUCUGCGAUAAGCGUCGGUAAGGUGAUAUGAACCGUUAUAACCGGCGAUUUCCGAAUGGGGAAACCCAGUGUGUUUCGACACACUAUCAUUAACUGAAUCCAUAGGUUAAUGAGGCGAACCGGGGGAACUGAAACAUCUAAGUACCCCGAGGAAAAGAAAUCAACCGAGAUUCCCCCAGUAGCGGCGAGCGAACGGGGAGGAGCCCAGAGCCUGAAUCAGUGUGUGUGUUAGUGGAAGCGUCUGGAAAGGCGCGCGAUACAGGGUGACAGCCCCGUACACAAAAAUGCACAUACUGUGAGCUCGAUGAGUAGGGCGGGACACGUGGUAUCCUGUCUGAAUAUGGGGGGACCAUCCUCCAAGGCUAAAUACUCCUGACUGACCGAUAGUGAACCAGUACCGUGAGGGAAAGGCGAAAAGAACCCCGGCGAGGGGAGUGAAAAAGAACCUGAAACCGUGUACGUACAAGCAGUGGGAGCACAGAGCAAUCUGUGUGACUGCGUACCUUUUGUAUAAUGGGUCAGCGACUUAUAUUCUGUAGCAAGGUUAACCGAAUAGGGGAGCCGAAGGGAAACCGAGUCUUAACCGGGCGUUAAGUUGCAGGGUAUAGACCCGAAACCCGGUGAUCUAGCCAUGGGCAGGUUGAAGGUUGGGUAACACUAACUGGAGGACCGAACCGACUAAUGUUGAAAAAUUAGCGGAUGACUUGUGGCUGGGGGUGAAAGGCCAAUCAAACCGGGAGAUAGCUGGUUCUCCCCGAAAGCUAUUUAGGUAGCGCCUCGUGAAUUCAUCUCCGGGGGUAGAGCACUGUUUCGGCAAGGGGGUCAUCCCGACUUACCAACCCGAUGCAAACUGCGAAUACCGGAGAAUGUUAUCACGGGAGACACACGGCGGGUGCUAACGUCCGUCGUGAAGAGGGAAACAACCCAGACCGCCAGCUAAGGUCCCAAAGUCAUGGUUAAGUGGGAAACGAUGUGGGAAGGCCCAGACAGCCAGGAUGUUGGCUUAGAAGCAGCCAUCAUUUAAAGAAAGCGUAAUAGCUCACUGGUCGAGUCGGCCUGCGCGGAAGAUGUAACGGGGCUAAACCAUGCACCGAAGCUGCGGCAGCGACACUGUGUGUUGUUGGGUAGGGGAGCGUUCUGUAAGCCUGUGAAGGUGUACUGUGAGGUAUGCUGGAGGUAUCAGAAGUGCGAAUGCUGACAUAAGUAACGAUAAAGCGGGUGAAAAGCCCGCUCGCCGGAAGACCAAGGGUUCCUGUCCAACGUUAAUCGGGGCAGGGUGAGUCGACCCCUAAGGCGAGGCCGAAAGGCGUAGUCGAUGGGAAACAGGUUAAUAUUCCUGUACUUGGUGUUACUGCGAAGGGGGGACGGAGAAGGCUAUGUUGGCCGGGCGACGGUUGUCCCGGUUUAAGCGUGUAGGCUGGUUUUCCAGGCAAAUCCGGAAAAUCAAGGCUGAGGCGUGAUGACGAGGCACUACGGUGCUGAAGCAACAAAUGCCCUGCUUCCAGGAAAAGCCUCUAAGCAUCAGGUAACAUCAAAUCGUACCCCAAACCGACACAGGUGGUCAGGUAGAGAAUACCAAGGCGCUUGAGAGAACUCGGGUGAAGGAACUAGGCAAAAUGGUGCCGUAACUUCGGGAGAAGGCACGCUGAUAUGUAGGUGAAGUCCCUCGCGGAUGGAGCUGAAAUCAGUCGAAGAUACCAGCUGGCUGCAACUGUUUAUUAAAAACACAGCACUGUGCAAACACGAAAGUGGACGUAUACGGUGUGACGCCUGCCCGGUGCCGGAAGGUUAAUUGAUGGGGUCAGCGCAAGCGAAGCUCUUGAUCGAAGCCCCGGUAAACGGCGGCCGUAACUAUAACGGUCCUAAGGUAGCGAAAUUCCUUGUCGGGUAAGUUCCGACCUGCACGAAUGGCGUAAUGAUGGCCAGGCUGUCUCCACCCGAGACUCAGUGAAAUUGAACUCGCUGUGAAGAUGCAGUGUACCCGCGGCAAGACGGAAAGACCCCGUGAACCUUUACUAUAGCUUGACACUGAACAUUGAGCCUUGAUGUGUAGGAUAGGUGGGAGGCUUUGAAGUGUGGACGCCAGUCUGCAUGGAGCCGACCUUGAAAUACCACCCUUUAAUGUUUGAUGUUCUAACGUGGACCCGUGAUCCGGGUUGCGGACAGUGUCUGGUGGGUAGUUUGACUGGGGCGGUCUCCUCCUAAAGAGUAACGGAGGAGCACGAAGGUUGGCUAAUCCUGGUCGGACAUCAGGAGGUUAGUGCAAUGGCAUAAGCCAGCUUGACUGCGAGCGUGACGGCGCGAGCAGGUGCGAAAGCAGGUCAUAGUGAUCCGGUGGUUCUGAAUGGAAGGGCCAUCGCUCAACGGAUAAAAGGUACUCCGGGGAUAACAGGCUGAUACCGCCCAAGAGUUCAUAUCGACGGCGGUGUUUGGCACCUCGAUGUCGGCUCAUCACAUCCUGGGGCUGAAGUAGGUCCCAAGGGUAUGGCUGUUCGCCAUUUAAAGUGGUACGCGAGCUGGGUUUAGAACGUCGUGAGACAGUUCGGUCCCUAUCUGCCGUGGGCGCUGGAGAACUGAGGGGGGCUGCUCCUAGUACGAGAGGACCGGAGUGGACGCAUCACUGGUGUUCGGGUUGUCAUGCCAAUGGCACUGCCCGGUAGCUAAAUGCGGAAGAGAUAAGUGCUGAAAGCAUCUAAGCACGAAACUUGCCCCGAGAUGAGUUCUCCCUGACCCUUUAAGGGUCCUGAAGGAACGUUGAAGACGACGACGUUGAUAGGCCGGGUGUGUAAGCGCAGCGAUGCGUUGAGCUAACCGGUACUAAUGAACCGUGAGGCUUAACCUU